UACGUAGGGCGCAAGCGUUAUCCGGAAUUAUUGGGCGUAAAGAGCUCGUAGGCGGUUUGUCGCGUCUGCUGUGAAAACUCGGGGCUCAACUCCGAGCUUGCAGUGGGUACGGGCAGACUAGAGUGCGGUAGGGGAGACUGGAAUUCCUGGUGUAGCGGUGGAAUGCGCAGAUAUCAGGAGGAACACCGGUGGCGAAGGCGGGUCUCUGGGCCGUAACUGACGCUGAGGAGCGAAAGCAUGGGGAGCGAACAGG
rnacentral:rRNA from 1 species